UUUCAACUGAAUAUUCAUAAAUAAAUUCUAAAUUUAACGCAUUUAUUCUGCCAAGUUGAA
rnacentral:tRNA from 1 species